AACGUAGGACGCAAGCGUUAUCCGGAAUCACUGGGCGUAAAGCGCGUGUAGGUGGUUUGAUAAGUCACUGUUGAAAGCUCCCGGCUAAACUGGGAGAGGUGCGGUGAGACUGUCAGGCUAGAGUAUGGGAGAGGGAUGCAGAAUUCCGGGUGUAGUGGUGAAAUGCGUAGAGAUCCGGAGGAAUACCAGAGGCGAAGGCGGCAUCCUGGCCUGUUACUGACACUGAGACGCGAAAGCAUGGGGAGCGAACGGG
rnacentral:rRNA from 1 species